AAUUAGCCAUCCAUCUAGCAUUUUAAUCUAAAUAUCAAAGAGUUUACACAUAAUCCACAGCCAUCAUAGACCACUCUAAUGUCAAAACCGUAGUACAUCAGUCAAAACACAAGCACUCAAACAGGACUCAAACAGGAAUAACACAAGGUCCAGGAUCUGUCGAAUCAAGCAAUAUUUGUGAGUUAGAUUGGCCCCGUUUACACCAAUGCGAUGCUGCUCUCGCCACCAGGGGGCUUGCGAACACCACCAAAAUAGUCCCUGGAUUCCGACUUUCCAUCUGCAAAGAUGUUACUGCCGCUUAUUUCUUUCAGUUUAGCGCUGCUUAGUGGUUUUUCAGCAGAUCCAGGAGGAACAUCUCCUUUGAAAAUAUCAUUGCCAGUCAACUCCUGAAACUUCUGAUUGUGUAUUUUCUUUGAUGUCCUAACAACCGGUUCUUCACCAAACAGGAUGUUACUCUGACCUCCAGCAGGCUAUAAAAGUUAAAAACCAAAGUCUAGUUAGGCAAGAGAGCUAGAAGCCAAAGCUAAUGGGAAUUCAUCAUGCAUGCAUUAGCAUAAAGAUGAUAUUUCAGUUACCAACAAACAAACCAACCCACCACAAAAGCGCUUGUUUUCUAAAAGUGGGAAGUUUGGCAAGAAUAUGGAAAACUAAAGUGAAGACAUUGAAUGGGGUGGCAAGAGCAAGUCGAUUCUUAUUGUUAAUGCAAAAGACAAAUUUUAUAGUCCAUGUGAAUAGAUGAAGAUUUGAAAUGAGAAAUUAUUUGAAUUUGCAUUAAUGUUGAUGUUAAUAAUCUUUCACUUGAUGUUUGAGAUAAUUCAUGUUCACUUCUGAUGGACAUCUAUCCAAAUGGACCCUAAUCCUGAAGAAAAUUUCCAAUUGCAGUCCACAAAAAGGCCAAGAUUGAUCAUUCUAGGAGCCUUUUCUAUCAUUUAACAGGCAUGAGGGAUUGAACUGCAUUUCUUUCUAUGAACAUUUUGCAGUUUGAGAGUCCCAAAAUGUUGACACUUGGAAGACGUGCUUCCAAAAUGCUGCUACUCCUAUAAAUGAACCUCAAUGAAAACAUUUAGCCCACAAAGCUCACAUUGUUCAUUGGUUAUUAUGUCAGAACUUAGAAGAAAGCAGUAGCACCAAAUUAACUAUUACAUUCCUAUGCUCUUACUGAUAAGAUCAUAAUGUAUAGUUCUAGAUAAUAAAUGAAGAUUUUAGAACGCAUAAAAACAUGCACUCACAUUGGAAACUUUAACAGAAGUGCGUAUGUUUCGUGGGGCAGGUUUCUCAAUGUCUUUGUUUUCCUUUGUUUCCAAGGAACGUGCAGCAGCCAAGGACCGGGGUGCAAUUUCAGGUGAAGGGGCAAAGAUGUCAUGUCCACUUAUUUCCUUGAAUUUUGCAUCUGAUAUCUGCUUUUUACUGUUCAUGUCUGACUCACUUUGCAGAGUUCCACUUAACUCACGCUGCUUUGCUACCUCAGGAAGAGAAGUAGGCUUCUUGGGAGAGAUACUCUCCUCAGUAUUAAAUGAUAUCUGGCUAAUUCCAUUCAUUGCUUGCUGAAAAUGCAACCAUUAAUGGGAAAUGUAAUCGUGAUUAAUCUUAGAUAAUAAGUAAUCAAGCAUUAUUUUGUAUAAUUAAAGGGAGACCAAAGUACCUGAUAGACACGCACACUAGUUUUGUUAAUGGGAUUAUCAGCGCCAGAUUCAGACGCAUUAUCUCCACCAUUAGCUGCAAAUAUACCACUGCCAGUCAUCUCCUUUAACUUAUAACCGGAACAGGGCUUCCUGGAGAUGGCAAAGGGAAAAAUUCAGGACCUCAGAUAGCUUGGAUAAUUCAUAACCCCACAUGGUAUAAAGGUGAAUUCCCUUUUGAUAGGCGUUUCCAGAGAUGCACCUCAAUGUUCACAUAUAUACAAUCAGAAAGAGUACAUGGGAAAAGAAAAUAAAUCGGAAAAGAACAUACCCAAUUGAUCCCUUAUAAUUCAUAAAUUCUGGAAUAAUUUAUACUACAUGAUUUUUUUGCUUAACUAUCAAAUUUCACAUACACCUUCAAGAUUGUUUUUUUUUUUUUAAUUUUAAAAUUCAAACAACUGCAUAAAGAGUUAACUUUGAGAGAACAAUGGACCUCAAAUGACUUUUAGCCUUUCAACUGGUCCAUUAGCACUUCAAGAUAAUCUUACUAUUAUGUAAAUUUAAGCAAUCCAAUCUUGGGUUUUACUCUUCCAAACACUUCAACUUAAAUACCUUAUCUUCAUUAUCCUUCUUCUACCCCUGUUCCUGGACUUCAUGGAUCACCAUCAGGAAUAGACAUUUAAGUUUCCGUCUUUUCAAGUAAAAUUGGGCUUUUUGAAACUUUUUUUUUUCCAAAAGAAAGAAAAAGAAUUUGAAAACUUCGUUGAUCUUUUAAGUUCCUCUUCUCUCUUCAUCACUGUUUGUAGAUAAAUUCUAUUCAACAAAGGUAACUUGGUAAUUUAAGGGCCACAUAUCUUAGCCCAAGUUAAAGUAGCAAAACCCAAGGCUUUUUUUAAUUGUUUAAUAAUUAAUGCAUAUAACUUUUUUUAAAAAAUAAAAUUUAUGAAAUCACUGUAUUUUUCUUUUUUUAUUCUACAUUCCUUUUUUUCUUUUUUUAUAAGACUAGUCCUUAUAAAGUUGUAUUAUUAUUAUUAUUAUUAUUAUUAUUAUUAUCUCUAUUAAAAUUCUAUGUUUUUUUUCCAUCUCUUUUCUAUUUAUUAUUAUUUUUAUAUUUAUUAUUAUUUUCCCUAUCCAUAUAAAUCUAAUGUCAUUUAGUAUUAUUUAUUUAUUAUAAUACUUAGAUAUUAUAUUUUUAUUCAAUUGAUUGUAUACAUAAUAAUCAACAUAUAAUUUAACUUUGAAUUUAAAAAUUAUAAGUGCGAAAUAUUUUUAAUUAUUUUAUAUUAGAUUUUAUAUUUUUAGAUUUUUUAUUAUUAACUAAAAUCUUUAAGAGCUUAAUAAGGAAGAGAUUUGAUAAUUGGAAGAAUUUUCCACAUUAUGAACUAAAAGAAAAGAAAAAAUAAUUUUAGAAAAAAAAACAGUUUUGAGAAAUAAGUAACCAAAAACUGAAAACAGUUUUAUGUUUUUAAUAAAUAAAAAACUAAAAAUAAAUAACAGUAACAAACGGACUUAGUAAUUUAGAAAUACAUUUUCCUUCUCUAAAUAUAUUUUCGCAUACUAAAAACUCUCAAAAACUCAUUUCUCCAAUUAAAAUAAUUAUAUAAAUAAAUAAAAAUUCAUAAAACAUAUAUUUUUUAUGAGUAUGGAACUUGUAUUUUUUUUAUACGAUUAAAUAUUGAUUAGAGUUGUUGUUGAAUAUAUUUAAUAAUUUAUAAUAAUUUAUAUUUUUAUAUUUAUAAAUAUAACUUUAUAUUUUCAUAUUUACGCAUUUCUUUCCGUUUCUUAUAUUUUUAAAAAGAUCGUUUCCUGUAUCCGUUUCCGCAUUUCACCUUUUUGUGCAACAUAGAUAUUAUAUGUUCAAUAUAAAAGUAAAAAUAAUUAAAUAAAAGUUUAAUUUAACAAUUUAAAUGUUCAAAAGAAAAAUCCUUCAUUAUCCACACUGGAUUAUAAGGAAGUUUAAUCAGCCUGCUUCAAUCAACCCAAUCAGUCUAUUAGAAGUCUCGAUCAGUCCGUAGAUUUUAUGAAGUUUAUAAAUUCCACAUUAAUGGUGGUAGCUAAGGUUAAAGACGAAAUAACCAAAACCAAAACCAAAAUAAAAAAAGAAAAAAAAGAAAAAAAAACCACCAUAUCAGAUGAUCAUUUGUACCUUAAAUUUAUCAAAGUACUAAACUGUAAAUUAUUGUUAAAAAGGGUACUAACUAUAUAUCAAACUUAAUUCUAGAGUUAAAUUUCCAGUUUCACCAUACAAUCAUGGCCUUGCGUCUCAAGAAGUAAAACACAGGACUGCGUAAUACAUACCAAAAAAAAAAAACAACGGCUCCAGAAGAGCUAAUGAUUGAGAGACAGAAAUAACUGAAUUAGCCAUCCAUCUAGCAUUUUAAUCUAAAUAUCAAAGAGUUUACACAUAAUCCACAGCCAUCAUAGACCACUCUAAUGUCAAAACCGUAGUACAUCAGUCAAAACACAAGCACUCAAACAGGACUCAAACAGGAAUAACACAAGGUCCAGGAUCUGUCGAAUCAAGCAAUAUUUGUGAGUUAGAUUGGCCCCGUUUACACCAAUGCGAUGCUGCUCUCGCCACCAGGGGGCUUGCGAACACCACCAAAAUAGUCCCUGGAUUCCGACUUUCCAUCUGCAAAGAUGUUACUGCCGCUUAUUUCUUUCAGUUUAGCGCUGC
rnacentral:lncRNA from 1 species